CGGGGAAUAUUGGGCAAUGGGCGAAAGCCUGACCCAGCGACGCCGCGUGGGUGAUGAAGGCCUUCGGGUUGUAAAGCCCUUUCAUGCGGAAAGAACGACCCUGAGACGCAUACUCUCAGGGAGUGACGGUACCGCAGGAGGAAGCACCGGCUAACUCCGUGCCAGCAGCCGCGGUAAUACGGCGGGUGCAAGCGUUGUUCGGUAUUAUUGGGCGUAAAGGGCGCGUAGGCGGUAAUGUAAGUCAGAUGUGAAAUACUCCGGCUCAACCAGAGAACAGCAUCUGAAACUGCAUAACUAGAGUACAGAAGAGGGAAACGGAAUGCCCGGUGUAGAGGUGAAAUUCGUAGAUAUCGGGAGGAACACCAGUGGCGAAGGCGGUUUCCUGGUCUGAUACUGACGCUGAGGCGCGAAAGCGUGGGGAGCAAACAG
rnacentral:rRNA from 1 species